rnacentral:rRNA from 1 species
UACGUAGGGGGCAAGCGUUGUCCGGAUUUAUUGGGCGUAAAGAGCGUGUAGGCGGCUUAUUAAGUGUGAAGUGAAAUCUCCAGGGCUCAACCCGGAAACUGCUUUACAUACUGAUAAGCUUGAGGAAUGCAGAGGUUAGUGGAAUUCCUGGUGUAGCGGUGAAAUGCGUUGAUAUCAGGAGGAACACCGGUGGCGAAGGCGGGUCUCUGGGCAGUAACUGACGCUGGAGGAGCGAAAGCGUGGGGAGCGAACAGGAUUGAGAUACCCCGG